rnacentral:rRNA from 1 species
AGUGAAUGCUGGCGGUAGGCCUAACACUUGCAAGUCGAACGGCAGCACAGUAAGAGCUUGCUCUUACGGGUGGCGAGUGGCGGACGGGUGGGGAAUACAUCGGAAUCUACUUUUUCGUGGGGGAUAACGUAGGGAAACUUACGCUAAUACCGCAUACGACCUACGGGUGAAAGCAGGGGAUCUUCGGACCUUGCGCGAUUGAAUGAGCCGAUGUCGGAUUAGCUAGUUGGCGGGGUAAAGGCCCACCAAGGCGACGAUCCGUAGCUGGUCUGAGAGGAUGAUCAGCCACACUGGAACUGAGACACGGUCCAGACUCCUACGGGAGGCAGCAGUGGGGAAUAUCGGACAAUGGGCGCAAGCCUGAUCCAGCCAUACCGCGUGGGUGAAGAAGGCCUUCGGGUUGUAAAGCCCUUUUGUUGGGAAAGAAAAGCAGCAGGUUAAUACCCCGCUGUUCUGACGGUACCCAAAGAAUAAGCACCGGCUAACUUCGUG